GCUUUUUCAGCUCCAGCCUUUGCUCUAAGGCUUCCAUGCCAUCUUUCCCCUGCUGUGAUGCCAGGAAGAUGAAGAAUCGCUGCCAUUUCACCAGGAUCUCUGAGAAUUGGAGCUUUUAAAAAACAAGCAUGAUUGCCUACCAGAAACUGAGGUCGUCCUAGAGCAGUCAUUUUGAUGGCAGAGAAACCGUCCAUUGAACUUCCACCUACAGCGGAUACACAUGAGCUGCAUUAGAAGGAAUGCAAGAGGACAAAGUGAGUUAAUGUGCCCUGACUUUGGGGCAAUAUUAGAAAUAUCAUUGGAGUGGCUGUCAAAAGCUGCUGUCUGAGAUCAAGCUGACUUAAUAUGCCUUGUCCUCCACCCUUACAGUUUGAAGGUGUAUGUUCGGCAAACAAAAGCUUUCUAGGCUCAGUCGAGAACAGAGCCGACGCCGAAGGCCUGAUUCUUCUGGAUCAGCGGCCUGAUGGCCCUGUGAUCUUCCCCAGCUACAAACUGACCAUAAAAUGUCAUCUUCAUGAACUGGUCGAAAGCUCUCCGGCCCAGGAUCUUCUU